CUCCCUAGUUUUCAUUUUACAAUGAUGAGCAAGAGACAAAAACUCUGAACAUUUGAAGCAAAAUAGGAUUUAUGGAAAAUAUAUUAGAUAAAGAAUCAGAAAUUAGAUAAAACAAAACAAAACUCCACUUAGAAGCAGGGCAUCAUAGCACAUUGUCCCACUAGAAAUCUUUGAAUGAAUAAAGCCCAUAUGUUUUUCUUCUCUGUCUAUGCAUCAUCUAAGCAUGAAUGACGUCCCAAGAAAACACAACCCGGUAGUCAACCCAGGCAGCAUGUGCCACAUGAGUAAAAAGAAACACCCAGGAGAAAGGCUUUUCAGGGAUUUCCCAGCUUCCAUGGUGAGAACACAGGUCAUUGGUCUAAAGGAAUGGGGGAAUGUUUAUGAAAAGAUGGGUGCCAAGGGGCCAGAAUGUUUUAAAAAUAAUUAUCUUGUUUAAAGACACAUUCCACGCCCCCCUAUGUUAUGUAAGAAGCCUGUAAGAUGGUUCCUUAAGCCAGUUCCUUCUGGUCUAGGUCUGUAACAAUGAUACACAUCUUUCCACUAGCAAUAUAUUGUAUAGCAUAGCAACUAGCAAUCUACAUUGCAUAUGUGUUAUCUCAUUGCAUAUUUAAAUAUACACUGUGCUAUAGGCUGAAUUGUGUUUUCCCUUUGAAAGCUGAUGUUAUUAAAUUUCUAACUCCCAAAGCCACCAUGUAACUCUAUUUGGAGUUGGUCUUUCAAAGCAGCUAUCAGUUUAAAAAUGGCUUCUAAUCCUUUUUGACUUGUGUUCUCUCAUGAAGUAGAAAUUAGGACAUACAUAUUAUCAUGGAUGUAAGUAGACUAAAGGACAUAAGAGGAGACAGAGAGAGGGGGGAUGGCCAUCUUGCAAGCCACAUAUAGAGGAUUUAGAGGAAACCAAACCUUCCAAUGCCCAAUUCUGGGUUUCUAGGCUCAAGAAUCUCCAGAAAAUUCAAAUUCUGUUGUUCAAGUAGCCCAUCUUACAGCGUUUGCUGUGGUAGCUGAGGGAACUUGUAAUAAUUACAUAAGAGAACCAAGAAUGGAAGAGACCGGGACAAGAAUUAAAGAAUCCAAGUCCCACAGCAAACAAGUAGCAGAGAAACCAGAUUCUUUGGUCUUAAGUCAGCUUUCUCUAAGCUUCCCCAUGCUAUUCUUUCCUUCCAUUGUUAACAUACUUCCUCUCCUUCAGUCCAUUCAGGUCUAAUAAAAUAAGAGAGUCCUUGAACGCAGAGACUGCUAUUGGCAGUCACCAGAAUAGCCAAUGUGGUCCUCACACUCAGGUGUGAGAUCUUUUCUCAUGAGUGCAGUACAAAUCCCUAAAUGAUUGCCACAUGCCACUGGUUUGUCAACAGGUAAUCUUACGUCAACAGUGAUUAGCCAUUCACUGGGGAAAAAGUCAUAGUAAAUUUGAUGAUGUAUUUCUUAAUAUUAUGCGCAACAUAAAGUUAUUGUGAAAGGGGCCCUAGGUCAGAACAAAGGUACCAUGUUUGCAGCUCCAAUCAUACUGCAUUUUGUUACCCAACCUUAUCAGAUGAACCUCUUGUAAUAAUCCAAAUUGUAUAUUUUUUGAGGUCUGGCAGGAGCAUUUUAUUCAUAAACAAAGAAAUCUUCUACUUGGGCCAGUGAUAUAUGAGCUAAUACACGAGCUGCCCUCAAGUCCCAUCACUGUGGUGUGUAGUUUGGAUCUCAGGGCUCCUUUGGCAUUGACCUCUGUUGCAGUCAAUUCUUCCUAACCAGCUACCCCACAGAAUGAGUGUGUACUUCAUUCAUGCCUUAUAUUUCAUAGAGUAUAGUGGAUCCAGAUAGUUCAUUCCUCAGCUUCAUUGUGAUGUAGAAUAACAUGCCCAACAGAAGUUGUCACUCAGACACACACACACAAACACACACACACACUUCCAAAUAGCUCUGUGUUCCUGGAUUUGGAGGCUCCAUAUAUUCAGAGAUCAUAUAUUGUAAAAUGUGCUGAAAGAUUCUUAGCCCAAGCAUAAUUGUUUCUUCCAGGCCAAUGAUUAUGUCUAACAUUUUGCAACCAAUGAACAAUGCUCAUUGAUUCUGACAUGGUAGAAGACAGAUUGUCCCAACAUGCAGAGGCUCAAUGCCAUAAGCAAAGUAAAUGAGAGUCUGUCGAGUAUAAGUCAUAACAAUAGCGCAUGGACUGAUGGUAAGAAGGGUCCUUGUGUCAGUUCAAUGAAAUAACUCCUAUUAUCUCUGUUUAUACCUACCACAUGAGUAAUGGUCAUAGUACAAUUAGCAUAUUUUAACCAAAAUAUUGUGAUUUGAGUGUGUGUCUUUGUGUGUGUGUGUGGGGGGGGUGCAUCCCACAGUGCUUAUGUGGAGGGAAGGGGACAGCCACAGAUGUCAGUCUUCCACAUUCACCUUCACAACUUCAUGCUUAUCCCUGGAAAAUGUGUUUUUUAAUGGAAAUACCAGAAAAUGUGUAUCUGCACCUUGUUUGCCAUGGGGUCACUUUGUUGUUCUCUACUGUGUAUGCCAGGCUACUUUGCCCAUGAGCUUUUCAGUUAAUGGAUAUAUUUAUAUAAUUAUAAUUGUUGGGUUCAUAGAGUCCUAUUAUAUGCAGUGAUUUGUUUAACAAAUUCCCUGUUCUUAGGAACCUAAGAAACUUCAAUACUGUAAGAAAUACUGCUGUAGUGAAUAGCUUCGCAACUUCACAACUUAGUACUUAUCCCUGGGAAUUGACUUUUCAUGGAAAUACCAGAAAAUGUGUAUGUACAUGUUCAAGUCUUUAGAUUGCUAUUGCCACCAUGUCAUUUCAGAGGAGAAAAGAUGGCUCUGCAGUUCAGAGAAUGCUCUGAUGUUGCAGAGGAUUGGAGCUCAGUUUCCCACACAAUGCCAGGCAGCUUACAACUGCCUGCAACUCAAGCUCCAAGGGGAACCGAUGGAGCUUGGGUGUACAGAUACUACCUCCAUACACACAUGCACAUAAUUAAAAACGAAAUUUAAAGCAUGUUAUACUAAACUGCAAUAUGUGUAGGAUGCUAGAAGGGAAAAUUUGAAUAUUUAUACC
rnacentral:lncRNA from 1 species